rnacentral:antisense_RNA from 1 species
AGUUAAACCCUGGUGUUCCUGAUACGAACUUCAGGAGAGGAUUUUGCACUUGUGCAGACCGGGCGAGCAAAGUAAGAAGCAGUCUCGCUGUGUCGCCCAGGCUGGAGUGCAAGUGGCGAGAUCUCGGCUCACAACUGCAACCUCCAUCUCCCGGGUUCAAACGAUUCUCCUACCUCAGCCUUCCGAAUAUCUGGGAUUACAGGUGCCCACCACCAUGCCUGGAUAAUUUUUAAAAAUAUUUUUAGUAGAGACAGGGUUUCACCAACUAGGGCAGGCUGCUCUUGAACUCCUGACCUCAGGUAAUCCACCCGCCUUGGCCUCCCAAAAUGCUGGGAUUACAGGCAUGAGCCACCGUGCCUGACCAACUUUAGCUUUUCAAAAUCUGUCUUCGUAGGCGAUAAUGGAAAUAUCUACCAAAGCUAAAUAUUCACCUAUCCCAUGACCCAGCAAUUUUACUCCUAGGUAUAUAUACCAAAAAAAUGAGUGUUCUGUGUCCACUAGAGAUAUGUGCCAAAGUGUUCAUAAUAGAUCCAAACUGGAAACAGCUCAAAUGUCCAUCAAUAGCAGAAAGAUAAACAAAUGUUGGGAUGUUCAGAGCUUGAAAUAUGACACAAUAUAAAAGGACAAACACUAUUAAAACUCACAACAGCAUGAAUAAAUCUUACAGACAUAAUUAUUGAGCAAAAGAUACCAGAAACACAAAAGUGUAUACUGUUUGAUUCCUUUAAAUAAAGGUUAAGAUAAUUCUCCCUCCUGCAGCCUUGUGAAGAAGGUGCCUUUCUUCCCCUUCUCCUUCUGCCAUGAUUGUAAGUUUCCUGAGGCCUCCCCAGCCAUGUUGAAUUCUCAUUGUCCCUGAUAAAAUAGCACCCUCUCUUCCUCUGCUCUUCCACCCUUUUCCUCUUCCGCUGUGCAACUGAAGACUGGGAAAGAAUGACAUGCAAAAUAAGAGGUUUUGGAUUCAGCGUAGGACUAACUACUGGAUGCUACUUACAGAAAACUUUAUAUUUGUGCUGAAAAAUCUUGUUAUCUAGGUGAAAGCCAAUGCUAUCCUAAUGACAAAAUUGUUGGGGAAAUAAAUUUAUAAGAGACUUUAUUUAAAGAAAUAAAAGAAAAAAUAAUAAAGCUUAAGACAAAAAACUAAUCCAUUUUGGUAGACAUCAGCACUUACCUCUGAGAAGGAAAAUGGUUACUGAUGGGGAAGUGGGAGGCAUAAGGGAAUCUUCUGGGUGAUGAAAAUGUUCUGUUUCUUGAUCUGAAUUGUAGUUACUUGGGUUUAGACAUAUGCUUAAAAAUCGUCAAGUUAUGUGUUUAAAACAUGUGCACCUUACAGUAUAUAAGCCACACUUCAAUUUUUUUAAAGGUCCCCACAACAUUGUUGUUUUCAAGGAAGUACAGGAAAUAUCUUUUACUCUGUGUUAAUUCAGGGUAGUUAUCUCCAUAAGUGCUUUACAAAAUAAUCUUCAUAAUAUAGUAGCACCAUUAAGUAGGCAUUAUUAUCUCUGUAUCACAAAUGCACAAUAUGAGAGUCAGAGAGGUUAAGUUAUUUUCCAAAGUCACACAGCUAAUCAAUGGCAAAGCUAGGAUUUUUUUUUUCUUUUUUGAGACAGAGUCUUGCUCUGUCACCCAGGCUGGAGUGCAGUGGUGUGAUUUCAGCUCACUGCAACCUUCGCCUCCCAGGUUCAAGCGAUUCUCAUGCCUCAGCCUCCCAGGUAGCUGGGAUUUCAGGUGUGCAACCACCACACCCAGAUAAUUUUUGUAUUUUUGGUAGAGAUAGGGUUUCACAUGUUGGCCAAGCUGGUCUUGAACUCUUGACCUCAAGUGAUCCACCUGUCUCAGCCUUCCCAAGUGCUGGGAUUACAGGUGUGAGCCAUCACACUCGGCCAAAGCUAGGAUUUGAAUAUAAGUUUGUCUGACCCUCAAAACCCAUGCUCCUUCCUCUGUGUUAGCCAACUUCCUGCAUAGCCAACUUCCCAGGGUCAUGGAAAGAAUCAUUAACGCAACCCAGGAAUGCUCUCCCGGAGUGUGGCUAUAUCUAGAGAAAUUGUGGAAAGAGGCCAGGCACGGUGGCUCACUCCUGUAAUUCCAGCACUUUGGGAGGCCAAGGUGGGAGAAUCAUCUGAGGCCAAGAGUUCAAGACCAACUUGGACAACAUAGUGAGAACCCUUUCUCUAUUCAAAAAAAAAAAAAAGAAAGAAAGAAUUUGCCUAAAUAGAACAGAAAAGGCUGUAUGUGCGAGACAGUUACUGCAGGUUUUAUAAUAGUAAAAAGCUAGAAAAAAACUAAUUAUUCAACAGUACAUAAUUAAGCAAAUUAUAAUACAUAUAUUCAAUAGGAUAUUAAGCAGCCAUUAAAAGUCAUACUUAAGAGAGCUUAUGAUAUAAUUUGCAGUGAGGUAAAACUGAAUAAAAGUUGCAUGUACUUUAAGAAUACAACCACGAAAAACAAAGCUUUUUAAACUUAUGCACAGAGAAAGGAAAGGCCAGAAAGUGUUUGUAUGUAAAGACCAUUAGUAUGUGUUGUGUGUGAUUUUUUUCAGCUGUGUUUUGUAGCUUUUCCUUGUAAAGGUCUUUCACCUCCUUGGUUAGGUAUAUUCCUAAGUAUCUUUUUUUUUGCAGCUAUCGUAAAAGGGGUUGCAUUAUUGAUUUGAUUCUCAGUUUGGUCGCUGUUGGUGUAUAGAAGAGCUACUGAUUUGUGUAUAUUAAUUUUGUAUCCAGAAAACUUUCCCGAAUUCUUUUAUCAGUUAUAGGAGCUUUCUGGAGAAGUCUUUAGGGUUUUCUAGGUAAACAAUCAUAUCAUCAGCAAACAGCGACAGUUUGACUUCUUCUUUACCAAUUUGGAUGCCCUUUAUUUCAUUCUCUUGUCUGAUUGCUCAGGCUAGGACUUCCAGUACUAUGUUGAGGAGGAGCUCAUGGAUAGGUAGAAUCAAUAUUGUGAAAAUGACCAUACUGCUAAAAGCAAUCUACAAAUUCAACACAAUUCCCAUCAAAAUACCACCAUCAUUCUUUACAGAAUUAGAGAAAACAAUUCUAAAAUUCAUAUGGAACCAAAAAAGAGCCCACAUAUCCAAAGCAAUACUAAGCAAAAAGAACAAAUCUGGAGGCAUCACAUUACCUGAUUUCAAACUAUACUAUAAGGCCAUAGUCACCAAAACAGCAAGGUACUGGUAUAAAAACAGGCACAUAGACCAAUGGAACAGAAAAGAGAACUCAGAAAUAAACCCAAAUACUUACAGCCAAUUGAUCUUUGACAAAGCAAACAAAAACAUAAAGUGGGGAAAGGACAUCCUUUUCAACAAAUGGUGCUGGGAUAAUUGGCUAGCCACAUACAGGAGAAUGAAACUGGAUCCUCAUCUCUCACCUUAUACAAAAAUCAACUCAAGAUGGAUUAAGGACUUAAUCUAAGACCUGAAACUACAAAAAUUCUAGAAGAUAUCAUUGGCAAAACCCUUCUAGACAUUGGCUUAGGCAAGGAUUUCAUAACCAAGAACCUAAAAGCAAAUGCAAUAAAACCAAAGAUAAAUUGCUGGGACUUAAUUAAACUAAGGAGCUUUCUCAUGGCAAAAAGAACAGUCAGCAAAGAGACAACCCACAGAGUGGGAAAAAACCUUCACAAUCUAUAUGUCUGACAAAGGACUAAUAUCCAGAAUCUACAAGGAGCUCAAACAAAUUAGCAAGAAAAAAAAAAUGAUCCCAUCAAAAAGUGGGCUAAGGACAUGAAUAGACAAUUCCCAAAAGAAGAUAUACAAAUGGCCAACAAACAUAUAAAAAAAUGCCCAACAUCACUAAUGAUCAGGGAAAUGCAAAUCAAAACCACAAUGUGAUACCACUUUACUCCUGCAAGAAUGGCCAUAAUCUAAAAAUCAAAAAAUAGUAGAUGUUGGCAUGGAUGUGGUGGUCAGGGAACACUUCUACAUGGCUGGUGGGAAUGUAAACUAGUAUAGCCACUAUGGAAAACACUGUGGAGAUUCCUUAAAGAACUAAAAGUAGAACUACCAUUUGAUCCAGCAGUCCCACUACUGGGUAUCUAUCAGAGGAAAAGAAGUCAUUAUACGAAAAA